AUAAAAGUAGGCAAAAAAAAUAUGUUCAUUCUGGAAAGGAGAGACGUGAUUUUCUCUGGAAUGAGGUGGAAAACAUAUGUGCAUACAAUGGUAUCAGCAUGGACAAUCAGAUAAAAUAAGUUGGAAAAUAUUAGCAUAUCGGAUAUUAUAUUACUACUUUGAAUGCGGUAUUGAACAUACGGACGUUGGUUUUUAUUUAGUUAAGUAUUUCUACGUUUUCCAUAUGGUUAAUUUAAUGAAAUGGCAGGUGUGGAGAGGGACUUGUCCACAGUUUUGUGGCCACAAGGGGCAGCAGUGAGCUCUCUACGGCUUGUUGCGUCACUAAUCCGACGUAAAGAAGAUGCCGCCGUUGAAAACGUCAUUUGACAAGUCACACUUAGACUAAAAAUAUGUGCUUUUUUGUAAUAUUUUUCCCUUUAACGAACGAAAACACUACAAAAAUACGAACUAAUGAGUUUGGAAAAUGAACCUCAGGUAAACUUCUUCAUCUGCGAUAAAUAAGAGAGCAACACCGAUAACUGUUAAUUAUCCUGUAGCUACUAGCUUACAUUAAUCUCGCACAAGCUAGCUAGCUAGCUAAUGUUUUUAAUUUACAACGCAUGGCCGAAUUAACAAGAAUUAAGAUAAACAAAAUAUAUGACUUUGACUGCUUAUGCUUGUAUAUUGUCUAUGUCUAUUAUACCGACCUCACAUUUACUGUAUGUGCAGUCCUACAUGUAUAUAAGCACCUUCAUAGGUCAGUCAACUGUCUGUUGACAGGUUAUUGGCCACAGACCUGCUCCUCACCUGGACAGAGCAGAGCACUGGCGGGUGACAUGAAGCUGACACAGGACAGAUGUAAUAACGAGCCUCUACUGUGUGGACGGAGGAUUCACCCUCAGGGCACAGUCUACUGGAGCCCCCCUGACCUCUCUGUCACCCCUUCCUAACCCACGUUAGCCAAGGCAUCCUGGGAACAAGAAAGAAAAUGAAGGAAGACUCUGCUGCGUCUUAGCGUCCGCAGAGCCAAAUCACAACCAGACCCGUUCGUCCGGGGGUGUAGGCAGUGCCCACCCAGGCAGGCAGCCCCUCUAGCCCUGGUCAGCCAUAGAAGAGGUUCAUCCCAGCGGGCUGACCUCUCUUUCAUCUGAUCGUGGGUCUGAGAUGUUCUCUCACACCCAGCACUGCUGCAAGGGCAACAUAUUAGCCAAGGGAGGAGGUUUGCUCCUGUUCUUGUGUGUGUGUGGCAUCUAAAUUUGAUUAGAAUUAGUUAAUUAUUGGGAAUCUGUCGUGGACUUGAAUGUAGAUCCAAAUAUAUCCUGUCGAAGUGGCCAGUUGGAUAUCCUUUCCACAUGAUUUUAUGCUUCAGUUUGUGCCUCGUUGAGUAGCCUUAUAGGUCCCAUGACUGCAGUACACUCUUCUCUUUUUCCACCCAUUCUCAUGUCUCUCCAUGGACACACUUUUCCCAUCUCUCCGCCUUUUUCUUGUAUCUGUCUCUCAGGCUCGAUGGAAAGGCAAGGGCAGACAACUUCACGUGUACACACACUCACACAUGCAGACACACAGCACCCCCACCUCUGCUGACCUCUUCUUCAUCUCCCACAAGGCCUUGGGGUGAGGCAGCCUGGCACCAGACAGUUAUUCAAACCCUCAGGCAGCUUCACUACAGGUCGGAGACAGAAACAGAAACAGAGACAGUGUGAGAGAAAGAGAGAGAGAGCGAGUGAGAGAGAGAUGAAUUCUCAGCUGAUAAUUUACUGAUUAACUGGUGUCUUAGCUUCAUAUGGGGGAAGAGGACUAGAAAGAACUGAGACUUUGUGAAGCCUUUUUAAAACAAUUUCAAUGAAUGUUGGGCAUUGUUUGCUGGAUUUACAUCAAAAUUUUCUUUAGAAAUAUAAAAAUACAAAAUAAAAUUAAAGUCUAAGAAAUUAAUUAGCUUCUUUGACUUUAGUUAUUGCCUUUGUAGAUUCCUCUCAGUGUUUAAACCCAUGCCUUUAAAACAGAAAAAUGUGUUAUUCAGCCAUAAAUUAAUUUUGUUUUUUAUUAUGUUUCAUUUAAUUUUUAAUCCCAUGAAACAGGAAAUAAAAGCAGUGGGAUGCUGUGAUUGGAUUAAAAGUCGUCUUCGUAAACAUUGUGACCCAUGUCUUUGACACACCUCCUUUCUCCUCUUGAAGAAAGUCUCUACAUAACAGGCACGCCAAGAGAUGAAGGUCUCUUUUUAAAAGAGGGACAUGGGAUGGGGAGGCAGACUUUGGAGUCUUUGUUAGGCACGUGGGCCUGUGUUUUGUCUUGGGUUUUGUUCUUCUAAAUCCUCCUCGGUUUGUGUUUGUCUCCGAGCUCUGCUUUGAGCGAUUAGGGACGAGGGUUUGAACAGCUCAGUUAAAUGAAGACAUAAUUCAGCCCUUUAUUGUGGCUUUGAAUAGUCUUUCUUUAUAUCAAUAAAUGACACUGGUUUGAAUAUUAGCCACACUGAAGGUUUUUUCAUAAAAAGAGAAGUAGCCCAAAGUGUUUGCAGAAUUUUACUGUUGCAUUAGACUUGGGGCUGGUUUGCUCUUUAUGGGAUGAGAGUGUAUUGUAUUGGACAAGUGAUGUCAGUAAACCAUGCCACCAGAGAUGAGCCAUAUCACGAGAGGCAUCGCUAGAAAUCUGAGUUGUGCCAUUAGACGGAGUGAAAAGCAGUAUCUUGAGAGAGAGAGAGAGACACACAGAAUGGAUUGUUCCACAACAGACUGACGGACCUUUUAGCCUUAUCUUCCUGAGCUACUCUUACAGAAAACCAAGGAGAGAAGGGAAAAGAAUGCCCUGCUCUUUCUCUCCCUCCCAUUUCCCAUUCUCUCAUUUCUUCUGUCUGCCUCUACCUUCCUUCUUCAUUUCUUCUUCCUCUUUUGUCCAUCAGUCCUUACCCAGCGUUUCUUAAAAAUCCUCUUAACCCUUGCACUCCUUCCAUUGUCCCCAUCCCUCAAUAUCUUACCUUGAUGUUUUAAUAUCUUGUUUCUUUCCUCACCCUCUACUAUCUUAUCCGUCUUCAGCUCUUUACAGCACUCUUAGAGCUCAUUGCCCCUACAGAUUGUUAAAAGGUAGCUCUGUAAGCUGCCACUGAGUCUCAGCAGCAGCAGCUGGCUGUUAUACUCUGUAAAAUAGAUCCCUCUCUCCGUCUCAGCCUCACACUAUAUGCAUGACAGCUUUUCAGGAGUGGUGCCAUACAAAUGUGAACCCAGUUGCUUUUGCAACAACAUCUUAUUUGCAUUUGUUUACAUGUGCCACUCUCUGCACGUUUGGAUUUGCUGCAUGUCAUGAUGUUUGGUGCAGCCCCUUGCCCAGAUCCUGAUACACACACGCACACACGCAACAGUAUUUGGUUGUGAUGACACUACGAGUCGUCCCUCUCCUCCCUCUCUGACAGAAUGAAACGGAUGGAUAAUUAGAUAUCAAAGGGAGGCAGGCAGGGUGUGGCGAGGCGCACGGGCCCCUACGAUGGUAAAGCACUUAUUAAUGAGAUAGGCCUUAUCUGCUCUCCUCCCAGGAAUUCUGCCUUUGAUCGGCCCCGACUCUGGACUUAAUACAUUUUUGAUUGAUAGGCUGAGAUGACAGAGAGAGGCGGC
rnacentral:lncRNA from 1 species